GUCGAGAAUCUUUCACAAUGGGGGCAACCCUGAUGGAGCGACGCCGCGUGGAGGAUAAGGUCUUCGGAUUGUAAACUCCUGUCAUGCGUGAACAAGGUUGCUUGGUUAAUACCUGGGCAAAUUGAUGGUAACGAAAGAGGAAGAGACGGCUAACUCUGUGCCAGCAGCCGCGGUAAUACAGAGGUCUCAAGCGUUGUUCGGAAUCACUGGGCGUAAAGGGUGCGUAGGUGGCGUGGUAAGUCAGAUGUGAAAGCCCGGGGCUCAACCUCGGAACUGCAUCCGAUACUGCGAUGCUAGAGUACUGGAGAGGUGACUAGAAUUCUCGGUGUAGCAGUGAAAUGCGUAGAUAUCGAGAGGAAUACCAAAGGCGUAGGCAGGUCACUGGACAGUUACUGACACUGAGGCACGAAGGCCAGGGGAGCGAGCGGGAUUAGAAACCCUGGUAGUCC
rnacentral:rRNA from 1 species